rnacentral:rRNA from 1 species
GAUGAACGCUGGCGGCGUGCCUAAUACGUGCAAGUCGAGCGAACGGACGAGAAGCUUGCUUCUCUGAUGUUAGCGGCGGACGGGUGAGUAACACGUGGAUAACCUACCUAUAAGACUGGGAUAACUUCGGGAAACCGGAGCUAAUACCGGAUAAUAUUUUGAACCGCAUGGUUCAAAAGUGAAAGACGGUCUUGCUGUCACUUAUAGAUGGAUCCGCGCUGCAUUAGCUAGUUGGUAAGGUAACGGCUUUCCAAGGCAACGAUGCAUAGCCGACCUGAGAGGGUGAUCGGCCACACUGGAACUGAGACACGGUCCAGAGUCCUACGGGAGGCAGCAGUAGGGAAUCUUCCGCAAUGGGCGAAAGCCUGACGGAGCAACGCCGCGUGAGUGAUGAAGGUCUUCGGAUCGUAAAACUCUGUUAUUAGGGAAGAACAUAUGUGUAAGUAACUGUGCACAUCUUGACGGUACCUAAUCAGAAAGCCACGGCUAACUACGUG